rnacentral:rRNA from 1 species
CCUGAUGGCGAGUGGCGAACGGGUGAGUAAAACAUCGGAACGUGCCGUGUAGAGGGGGACAACGUAGCGAAAGUUACGCUAAUACCGCAUACGCACCACGGUGGAAAGCGGGGACCUUCGGGCCUCGCGCUAUACGAUCGGCCGAUGACUGAUUAGCUAGUUGGUGGGGUAAAGGCCUACCAAGGCGACGAUCAGUAGCGGGUCUGAGAGGACGAUCCGCCACACUGGGACUGAGACACGGCCCAGACUCCUACGGGAGGCAGCAGUGGGGAAUUUUGGACAAUGGGGGCAACCCUGAUCCAGCCAUGCCGCGUGCGUGAAGAAGGCCUUCGGGUUGUAAAGCGCUUUUGUCUAGGAGGAAAGCCUAACUUUUAAUAAAAGUUAGGGCUGACAGUACUAGGAGAAUAAGCACCGGCUAACUACGUGCCAGCAGCCGCGGUAAUACGUAGGGUGCAAGCGUUAAUCGGAAUUACUGGGCGUAAAGGGUGCGCAGGCGGCAAGAUAAGCCAGAUGUGAAAUCCCCGAGCUUAACUUGGGAACUGCGUUUGGAACUGUCUAGCUAGAGUUAGUCAGAGGGGGGUAGAAUUCCGCGUGUAGCAGUGAAAUGCGUAGAGAUGCGGAGGAAUACCGAUGGCGAAGGCAGCCCCCUGGGAU